UACGUAGGGGGCUAGCGUUGUCCGGAAUCAUUGGGCGUAAAGAGCGUGUAGGCGGCCCGGUAAGUCCGCUGUGAAAGUCGGGGGCUCAACCCUCGGAUGCCGGUGGAUACUGUCGGGCUCGAGUACGGAAGAGGCGAGUGGAAUUCCUGGUGUAGCGGUGAAAUGCGCAGAUAUCAGGAGGAACACCAAUUGCGAAGGCAGCUCGCUGGGACGUUACUGACGCUGAGACGCGAAAGCGUGGGAGCAAACAGG
rnacentral:rRNA from 1 species